rnacentral:tRNA from 1 species
GGGUGCUUAGCUCAGCUGGUAGAGCGGCGCCCUUACAAGGCGUAGGUCGGGGUUCGAACCCUCAGCACCCACCA